GCUGCGGGGGGCGAUGCCAGCCUGGGGGGGUCCCCGGCGUCCUCGGUGUGACGGCACGGGUGGCACCCGGGGCUGUCCCCUCACCUGGGUGUCGGCAGGCAGCCGGGGCAUGGAGGCGGCGCGGCCGUGCCCCUCCAUGGGCAAGUAGUCACUGUCCGAGUGGCCAUCCUUGGGCAUCUCCCGCAUCUCCACCAGCUGCGGCACCGGGGAAACUGAGGCACGCCCGGGGGGGCGGGCAGGGGACAUGGGGGAGGUGUGGCCCGGGGUGGCACCGCCGCUCACCUGGGAGUUGGGGCGGCUGUUGGGGACAUCGUCGGGGUGUCCCCGCUCGGGGCUCCAGGUGCCGGUCCUCUGGAACAUCUCCUGGGCGCGCUGCGUGACCCAGGACUGGCUCUCCUUCAUGUCCCCGUCCCGCGCGGCCCUGGGGGACAGCGGCGCUCAGAGCCCUGCUGGGACACCGGGGACUCCGGGGACACCGGGGGGGCACUUACGGCUCCGCCGUGGGCGCCGCGUCCGGUCCCGGGGGCCCCUCCUGGGUGGGGGACGGUGGCUCCAUGCGCUGGAACAUCAGCGGCGUCCGGUUCUGUGGGGACACGGGAGGCUGGACACGGGACAUGGGGACACCGGGACACCAAGAGGGGACACCGGGAUGGCAGAGGAGGGGACAGGGCCGAGCUGGGAGCUGCGGGGCGGUGGUGGGGACACCGUGGGGUGACAGGGAGGGGACCACGGGGGACAGUGGCGGUGUCCCACCUGCUCCUCGCGCAUGGCCUGCAGCUUCUUGGCCUUGCUCUGCCGGUAAUACUCCAUGAUCAUCAUGGCCGCGUAGAUCUUCCCCACCGUCAGGUCGGUGGCUGCGGGGACACGGGUCAGCGGGGACAGCGUGGGGACAGCGGGGACACUGGGGACAGGGACAAGGGGGUUUCCUGGAUCCCAGGGGUGCUUCUGAUGGGGACAGAGGCGCAGGAUAAAGCUGGGCUCCAGGAACGGCUCCGGGGAUGGAGGGACAAGGGCAGGGAGGGGACAGAGCAGGACAAACCCCAGGACCACGAGGACCUGGGGGUUCCGGGGGUGGCAAAAACCCCUGGGGGUCCCCCCAGCCCCUCCAGCGCCGUCCCUGCCCACCUUCAUCAUGAGCACGAUGGUGUUGAGGGCGAUCAUGGCCAUGAUGGUGUACUCGAAGGGAGGGGACACCACGAACUGCCACAUGCGGUACUGGAAGCUCUGGCGGUUCUGGGGCAUGUGCCGGGUCAGCGGCUUGGCGCUGAUGGCAAAGUCGAUGCAGGCUCUCUGCAGAGGAGGGGGGGACACGGGGGUGUCACCCACCCCGGAGGGGACACGGAGAUGCCACCCACCCUGGCACGGCCCCCAGAGCACUGCACCUCGUUCUUCUCCAGGCUGUACUCCUCCAUCAUCUUGUCCCCCUGCUCCUGGAAGGUGAUGAUGAUCAAGGCCACGAAGAUGUUGACGAAGAAGAAGGGGAAGACCACGAAGUAGACGACGUAGAAGAUGGACAUCUCCAUGCGGUACCCGGGGCUCGGCCCUUGGUUCUCAUAUGUAGCAUCCACCGAGUGCUUGAGGACCCUGAGGGGCAGGGAUUUGGGGCUUGGGGGGGGUCCCACAGCCCCCACCAGACCCCCGCCCCAAAUCCCUGCCAGCCUUACUGCGGCCACCCCUCGCCGGUGGAGACGGUGAAGAGGGUGAGCAGCGCCCAGAGCACGUUGUCGUAGUGGAACUCGUACUUCUUCCACUCGCGCUUCUGCGCCUUCACCUCGUUGUCCUUCUCAUACACCAGGUACUCGCCCCUGCCCAGGGAGGGGCGGUGGGCGAGGGCCGGGCGGGGCGGGCCGGGCCCCUCCCGGCCGGGCCGUACCUGCAGUCCUUCUCGAACUCCUUGGACUCGUCGGUGCAGUAGAAGAACUUGCCCUUGAAGAGCUGCACGGCCACCACGGCGAAGAUGAACAUGAAGAGCAUGUACACGAUGAGGAUGUUGAGGACGUUCUUCAGCGAGUUCACCACGCAGUCAAACACGGCCUGGGGGAGGGGGAGGGUCAGCUGCUUGGGGACCCUCCAUCGCUGCUUGGGACCCCCCCCCGAAUUCUCCUCCCCCCCGGAGCCCACCUUGAGCUUGGGCAGCCUCUUGAUGGUCUUCAGAGGCCGGAGCACGCGAAGGACGCGGAGGGACUUGAUGGUGUUGAUGUCCUUCCCUUUGCUGCUGCCCCCCCCGGGGCCGGGGAGCCCCCCCGGGGGUGUGGGACCCCCCCCACGACCCCCGGCCCCCCCAGCAGGACCCCUCCCC
rnacentral:lncRNA from 1 species